UACAGAGGGUGCAAGCGUUAAUCGGAAUUACUGGGCGUAAAGCGUGCGCAGGCGGUUUUGUAAGUUUGUCGUGAAAUCCCCGGGCUCAACCUGGGAAUUGCGAUGAAGACUGCAAGGCUAGAAUCUGGCAGAGGGGGGUAGAAUUCCACGUGUGAGCAGUGAAAUGCGUAGAGAUGUGGAGGAACACCGAUGGCGAAGGCAGCCCCCUGGGUCAAGAUUGACGCUCAUGCACGAAAGCGUGGGGAGCAAACGAGGAU
rnacentral:rRNA from 1 species